rnacentral:snoRNA from 1 species
AGAUCAAUGUUGAGCCUUUAUAUUGUCAUAAAGAAAGUUGAUGACAUGAAAAUUAUGACAAAUAAGACUGUUCUGAGACCC